rnacentral:rRNA from 1 species
GAUGAACGCUGGCGGCGUGCCUAACACAUGCAAGUCGAGCGGGGAGGAGAAAGCUUGCUUUCAAAUCCUAGCGGCGGACGGGUGAGUAACGCGUGGGCAACCUACCCUGUACAGGGGGAUAACAAUGGGAAACCAUUGCUAAUACCCCAUAACACCUUUUAAGGGCAUCCUUUUAAGGUCAAAGAAUUUCGGUACAGGAUGGGCCCGCGUCUGAUUAGCUAGUUGGUGAGGUAAUGGCUCACCAAGGCGACGAUCAGUAGCCGGCCUGAGAGGGUGAACGGCCACACUGGAACUGAGACACGGUCCAGACUCCUACGGGAGGCAGCAGUGGGGAAUAUUGCACAAUGGGCGAAAGCCUGAUGCAGCAACGCCGCGUGAGCGAUGAAGGCUUUCGAGUCGUAAAGCUCUGUCCUAAGGGAAGAUAAUGACGGUACCUUAGGAGGAAGCCCCGGCUAACUACGUGCCAGCCGCCGCCGUAAUAC